AUGACGCUGGCGGUAGGCUUAACACAUGCAAGUCGGACGGAAACGACAAGAACAAUCACUUCGGUGUGCGUUCUUGGGCGUCGAGUGGCGGACGGGUGAGUAAUGCCUGGGAAUCUACCCUAAUGUUGGGGACAACAUAUGGAAACGUAUGCUAAUACCGAAUAUGAUCUACGGAUUAAAGGUGCCCUCUCCUUGGAAGGUAUCGCAUUAGGAUGAGCCCAGGUGAGAUUAGCUAGUUGGUGAGGUAAUGGCUCACCAAGGCAACGAUCUCUAGCUGGUUUGAGAGGAUGAUCAGCCACACUGGGACUGAGACACGGCCCAGACUCCUACGGGAGGCAGCAGUGGGGAAUAUUGCACAAUGAGCGAAAGCUUGAUGCAGCCAUACCGCGUGUGUGAAGAAGGCCCGAGGGUUGUAAAGCACUUUCAAUUGUGAGGAAGGUAGUGUAGUUAAUACCUGCAUUGCUUGACGUUAACUUUAGAAGAAGCACCGGCUAACUCUGUGCCAGCAGCCGCGGUAAUACAGAGGGUGCAAGCGUUAUUCGGAAUUACUGGGCGUAAAGCGCGCGUAGGCGGAAUAUUAAGUCAGUUGUGAAAGCCCUGGGCUCAACCUGGGAACUGCUUCUGAUACUGGUAUUCUAGAGUUUAGUAGAGGGAAGGGGAAUUCCUAGUGUAGCAGUGAAAUGCGUAGAUAUUAGGAGGAACAUCAGUGGCGAAGGCGCCUUCCUGGACUAAAACUGACGCUGAGGUGCGAAAGCGUGGGUAGCGAACGGGAUUAGAUACCCCGGUAGUCCACGCCGUAAACGAUGUCAACUAGUUGUUGGCCUUAUUAAAAAGGUUAGUAACGAAGCUAACGCGAUAAGUUGACCGCCUGGGGAGUACGGUCGC
rnacentral:rRNA from 1 species